rnacentral:tRNA from 1 species
AAUAAGAUGCCUGAUAAAAAGGAUUAUCUUGAUAGGAUAAAACAUGUAAAAAUACUCUUAUUA